GCGGAAUUAGCUCAGUUGGUAGAGCAUUGGCUUCCCAAGCCGAGGGUCGCGGGUUCGAGUCCCGUAUUCCGCUCCA
rnacentral:tRNA from 2 species